rnacentral:tRNA from 1 species
UCCCUGGUAGUCCAGUGGCUAGGACUCUGCACUCCCAGUGUAGUAGGCCCAGGUUCAAUACUUGGUUAGGAAA